rnacentral:rRNA from 1 species
UACGGAGGAUGCAAGCGUUAUCCGGAAUGAUUGGGCGUAAAGCGUCCGCAGGUGGCUGUGUAAGUCUGCUGUCAAAGAGCAAAGCUCAACUUUGUAAAGGCAGUGGAAACUACACGGCUAGAGUGCGUUCGGGGCAGAGGGAAUUCCUGGUGUAGCGGUGAAAUGCGUAGAGAUCAGGAAGAACACCGGUGGCGAAGGCGCUCUGCUAGGCCGCAACUGACACUGAGGGACGAAAGCUAGGGGAGCAAAUGGG